UACGUAGGGUGCAAGCGUUGUCCGGAAUUAUUGGGCGUAAAGAGCUCGUAGGCGGUCUGUCGCGUCGGCUGUGAAAACCCGGAGCUCAACUCCGGGCCUGCAGUCGAUACGGGCAGACUGGAGUUCGGCAGGGGAGACUGGAAUUCCUGGUGUAGCGGUGAAAUGCGCAGAUAUCAGGAGGAACACCGGUGGCGGAAGGCGGGUCGUCUGGGCCGAUACUGACGCUGAGGUGACGAAAGCGUGGGGAG
rnacentral:rRNA from 1 species